rfam:Chlorobium phaeobacteroides BS1, complete genome.
AAACCAAAGUGUGCAGUCGCCGUAUAUCUUUGAGGAUAUGCGGAGGAAAGUCCGAACAUCACAGGACAGGGUGCCGGCCGAGAGUAUUACUCAAGACCGGGAGUAGUGGCGCAAGCUCCUGCUACAGAGAGUGCAACAGAAAGUAUACCGCCCCGGCUACCGGGGUAAGGGUGAAACGGGGGUGUAAGAGACCACCAGACAUGUCAGUAAUGACCUGUGCUAUGAAAACCUCCCCGAUGCAAGGCUGAAUAGGGAAACUUUUCCGAAAGGGAGAAGAGCUGUCCGCUCAAUUUUUUGAGUUUCCGGGUGAGCCGCAUAAGAUAAAUGACUGCAGUCUUGUCGAAAGGCAAGGAACAGAAUUCGGCUUACAGCUUUGGUUUCUUU